UCAGGCACGGUGUCAGCAGCCUUGAGGCGGCAAGUGCUGCUGUCUGAGGAGGAGAAGAGGCAGCUGAAAAUAAAGAUAAACAUUGCAUACUUCAUUGCGAAAGAAGAACCUUUCGUCAAAUUUGGUCCGCUUAUCAGACUCCACCACAAAAACAGAGUUGACAUUAAUCCCACAUACGACAAUGUAAAAUGUGCGGAGAUUAUCUGUCAAAUUGCUGACAUAAUGAGAGAGCCUGUCAGCGAAGCUGAAAGCCGCGAAGUAUCUUGCCAUUCUAAUAGACGGAGACACUGAUAUAUCCAACACCAAAUGCGAGAUUGUCUACAUACGCUUGUUGGAGGAUGGGAAGCCAGUCAAUCUCAUGGUCGGACAACAGACCCUUGAGCACUCUCAUGCCAUUGGUGUUUUGGAUGUCACCAAGGACACAUUUCGUGCUGUUUGCCCAGAGGAGAAUCAUGGAUGAAGAGGUGCAUCUACUUCAGGGCAGAUGGUGCCUCUGAACAUGGGCCACUAUGGGGGAGUGAUUGCCCAGCUGCAGAGAGAGAGGCACAUAGAGUCUACUAUAGAGCUGUCUUUCAACAUGCUAAACCCUUACACAUGGCCAGAAGACCAGGCCAGCCUUCUCACCUUUGGCGAUGAUGGUGUGGCAUACCUGAUGAGGCAUUUCAAGGAGCCUCUAGAGAGAU